rnacentral:lncRNA from 1 species
GUGAUGCAAAGGGAACCCAGAGCACUGUGUUACAGAGGCCAGAAGCUUUCAUAGGGACUAACAUCAGAGACUGAAAGAUCCUAGGUAUUCAAAGAGACAACAGGGACACUGAUGGAAAGUGAUGGACCCAAUGUCAAAAGAAGAAAAGCUGUCUGCAGGAGGACACCCAGAAAAUUAAUAGGUGGAUUGCAAAAAACCCUUUUCCCAAAGGGAAAAGUCAAUAAAGCCUCCAGUGAUGGCCACUGGCACAGGACAUAUUUCCAAAAUGGACCUUUUGCUUGCUCUAGAAUGGCCAUUUCUACUGUUCCAUGCAAAAAACCACACCAAACCAAAACAACCCUACAAAGAAGCCUCAAUCAAACAGUCAUCCAAGAUACUAAAUAAUAAGAAGCUAUUCUAAUACCAAGAAAUUACUCUCAGAUCAAAAUACUGAAAAUCAAUAAAGAGGAAAAAAUAAGUUCUGUGAAAGUAACU